AAAAAAUCUGCGAUGGAUCUACAUACCCGAGCCCGAGCACCUUGAGCCCCACUUUCCGUACAAGAUCAUCAUUGCUGUCCCGCCGAAUUAGUUGAAUGAAGAUCUGAACUGGAACUUUGACACCUCGGCAGGGAAAUAAAGAUGAUUGCUGUGAUGGUUUAUUCACACCUCCAGCGUGAUAAACGUGUAAACCCAUGGAAUUUCUGUAGCAGGUUGGUGGAAUAAGGAACUUUCCGGAUGUUUCGAUAUUCGUCCACCGUGUGCUUGGCUGGCGUUGUUUGAAGCGUUUCUCAUCGAUUAACAAAUGGAUUUAUUUGGACGAUGAAAGGACAAGGUCUUCAUGAUAUCGACACUGAAUUCAAACUCUGAAUCAGCGGUUAUCCUUUGAUCACUUUGUCAAUGGAACUGAAGGGGGCAAAGGAAAUCACAGUACCAAGAAAACAGUCGUCGCCCGAUGGCGAACAGCCGGCAGGAUGGUCGAGCAGUUUCGCGCCGGUGGAAUAGUCUCU